UCGAGUUUUGAAUCAGGUUGUCGCUGGCCUUUGAUUUGGCAUGUGCACAUCUGACUCAUCCAUCUCUCACACCUUUGUGCACCUUUUGUAGGUUGCGUUCUGAAGGCUGGCUUCUGUGCUGGCUUUUGACCUACCUAUGUCUCUCUUGCAAACGCUUCAGUGACAGAAUGUAACUGUUUGUAGAAAAAAACUAUAUA
rnacentral:misc_RNA from 1 species